rnacentral:tRNA from 1 species
CCCUGAUUGGUCUAGUCAUUAAGACUCUGCUCUCCCAAUGCAGGGGGCAUGGGUUUGAUCCCUGGUCAGGGA